CAGGCAAAUCUAAAAUACCGAGAGCGCCGAGCUACUGACAUUGCUAAAGAUGAUCAUGAAGACAUUUAUCCAGCCUCUCCUGCUUUCCCUUCGCCCAGCCCUUCGGAAGCUUAUGUCAAGUGUGACAGGCUAGGUGAUGAAUGGGUAGAAAGUUGACAAGUGGCGACAGGCGGCUGAGAUCAAAAUAUGCAGAAGAAGGAAGUGCUGCAGGAGAGGGAGUAAUUCAGCACCAUGAUCACCACGGGGGAUGGGAAACUAAGGGAGUGUCUUGACCAAGUUUGAGAAGAAUGAAUACAUGUGUAGCAGAAAUCAAGGACUGCAGAGGGAUGAAUAUUCCAAGUUAAUCAGCACCACAUUUCAAGUAUACGUAUAAAGUCAUGUAAUAUAGAAAUUUUACAUGUCAUAUGAAACAUUAUAAUCUAAAUUUUAGCAGGACAUGUAGAAAAUAUAUGCAGCUAUAUAAUUACUGGCGUAAGUGUGUCUUGAGGUAAAUAUUCUCUAUUUUAAAAGUAUAUGCUGUAUUUUAGAUACUAGGAAAGAAACUUUAUUAGUUUAUGAUUUUAUUUGUACUAGUCUCUUUAGAAAAAGACAAUAUAUGCUCAUGAUAAAAAAAGUCUACUUUUGCACAGAAAAGUAUAAAGUAUAAAUUGCAGUUAACUUUGGCCAUCUUACCUUCACUUUGAAGUAUUUGUCUCUCUUAAACAUUUUUCAUUUGACUUGUAGCAAUUCUAACUGAAUAUGAAAAUCUGUACCAGGAUUCCCCUACUAGGCAAAUCACUGUGGAAUUUAGGCAACAUGAUAUUUUAAACUUUUGAAAAUUGAAUUUGAAUGCAUUUAGGUAUGAAAUCCAUUCCACAAUUCACAGCUACCACUUUAAUUUAGCUUCCAUAAACAUAGAUAGCACUUGCUUGGUUUUUGAAGGGUAACAGUUGAAUUUUGACUCCCGGAAUACACUCCAAGAUUAGCCUGUGUAUGUGUGUGUGUGUGUGUGUGCAUGUGUGUAUGCACAAAUAUGUAUUUCUCAUAAAAAUCAUGUUACACUUA